AUGGUUCCAGCUAGCGUUGCGAUGGACUUCGCCGUGGACGCUGCGCUCUGGGUGUUGGGCAAGGCGCUGGCCCCGGUCACAGACGGCCUGCUGGAGUCAUGGGCGGCCAGCGAUGGGCUUGGCCACAACAUCGACGCCCUCAAGAUGGAGCUCCUCUAUGCGCAGGGGAUGCUCGACAACGCGCAGGGCAGGGAAUUCCGCAGCCCCGCGCUCAAGGAGCUUCUACACAAGCUCCGGGAGCUCGCGUACGGGGCGGACGACGUGCUCGACGAGCUCGACUACUUCCGCAUCCAGGAUGCAUUCGACGGCACCUACCACGCCGCCGCCGACUUGGAUGCACAGGGCUGCAUUGAUGGCCUCCUCCUCAAUGCUCGGCACACCGCCAGGGACACUGCUCACAAACUCAGGCUUUCGUCCUUAUGUUCGCGUGGUGCGAGCGCUAGCCAUGGCGAUCCUGACGAUGAAGCAGAAGGUGGCAAACAAGGAUGCCUAUGUAGCAUUCCCACUCGUGGCAGGCAUCAAAUCAGCUCCCCACCAGCGUCACCAACCAACAACGGUGGAUGCAUUUCCAAGGUCGCUUCUCGUGCUCGCAGCGCUGCCCACAUUAUCGACACUACUAUGAACAGACCCCAAACCACCCCAAACAUUGUCGAGCCUGAGUUAUUUGGGAGGGAUGGCCAGAAAAAGAGCAUCGUGGAUGAUAUUACACAUGGUAAGUAUUGUACAAAUGAACUUACUGUGGUUCCACUUGUUGGUCCGGGUGGUAUUGGGAAGACAACACUCACACAACACAUAUUUAGAGAACUCGAGAGUUCUUUCCAAGUUUCAGUUUGGAUAUGUGUCUCUCUUGAUUUUAAUGCAGAUAGGUUGAUACAAGAGAUUGUGAACAAGAUCCCUAAAGUGAACGGUGAAAAGGAUAAUGCUAGCAACCAAGAGUUAAUUGAACAAACAUUAAAAUCUAAGCGGUUGUUGCUUGUUUUAGAUGAUGUGUGGACAUAUCAUGAGGAUGAGUGGAAAAAACUAUUAGCUCCAUUGAAACAUAACGAUGGAGAAAAGGGUAAUGUGGUUAUAGUCACUACACGAAUUCCAAAGGUAGCAAGUAUGGUCACCACAACUAAUUCUUCAAUCAACGUGGAACGUUUAAGUCAUGAGGAUACUAUGUCUUUCUUCGAAGUAUGUGUAUUUGGUGACCAACGACCAUGGGAAGACCAUCCUGAAUUACGUGAUGUUGGGAAUAGAAUAGUAACAAAAUUGAAGGGUUUCCCUCUUGCAGCAAAAACAGUUGGUAGGUUACUAAGAAACCAGCUUACCUUGGACCACUGGACAAGAGUUGCAGAAAGUAGAGAAUGGGAAUUACAGACCAACGACAUUGACAUUAUGCCUGCCCUAAAGCUUAGCUAUGAUUAUCUCCCUUUUCAUCUACAACAAUGUUUUUCCUAUUGUGCAUUGUUUCCAGAAGAUUAUGAAUUUGGUAGCAAAGAGUUGACUCACUUCUGGAUAGGACUAGGCAUUAUAAGGUCACAUGAUCAGGCCAAAAGAACAGAAGAUGUUGCACUGUGCUAUUUAGAUGACUUGGUAAAUCAUGGAUUCUUUAGAAAGAAUGAGAAAGAAAAUGGUCCUCGUUAUGUUAUUCAUGACCUACUGCAUGACUUGGCAGUGAAGGUUUCAUCAUAUGAAUGCCUUUGCAUAUAUAGUUCUAAUGUGAGGUCCAUACAAAUUCCUGCAUCUGUACGUCACUUGUCCAUCAUUGUAGAAAAUACUGAUGUCAAAGAUAUAAUCACUUUUAAAGAAUACAACAGUUAUUUGAGUGCACCAGGUAAAAGAUUGAAAGUUCAGAACUUACGCACUUUAGUGUUGUUUGGUGAAUACCAUGGAAACUUUGCCAAAACUUUUAGGGGUUUAUUUAGGGAAGCUAGAGCCUUACGCACUAUUUUUCUGUCUGGUGCAUCAUAUUCUGUGGAUGCUGUGUUGCUGGACUUUUCAGAACUUGUCCAUCUUUGCUACCUAAGGAUCAAAUCAGUUCGUAAUAAGGACAUGUGCUUACCUAGUGCAUUGUUUAGAUCCUAUCACUUAGAGGUAAUUGAUCUAGAAAGUUGGGGCGGCAGCUUUGGUUCAACAAGUGAAAUGAGCAACCUUGUAAAAUUGCGUCAUUUUGGUGUGCCGGAACAUAGUCUUAAGCUUCACUCUAGCAUAUGCGAGGUUGGGAAACUUAAAUUCCUAGAGGAACUGAGGAGAUUUGAAGUGGGAAAAGAAACCAAGGGUUUUGAACUAAGUCAACUAGGAGAACUGACAGAGCUUGGAGGAUCACUUGGCAUUUAUAAUCUCGAAAAGGUGCAGAAAAAAGACGAGGCAAAUGAACUAAAACUGAUACACAAAAACCACUUGUCAAUUUAA
rnacentral:rRNA from 1 species